GACGAACCACCCAAACGUUAUUCGGAAUUACUGGGCUUAAAGAGUGCGUAGGCGGCUUUGUAAGUUAGAGGUGAAAGCCCGGAGCUCAACUCCGGAAUUGCCUUUAAGACUGCAUCGCUAGAAUCAUGGAGAGGUUAGUGGAAUUCCGAGUGUAGAGGUGAAAUUCGUAGAUAUUCGGAAGAACACCAGUGGCGAAGGCGACUAACUGGACAUGUAUUGACGCUGAGGUGCGAAAGCGUGGGGAGCAAACAGG
rnacentral:rRNA from 1 species